GCCGGAUUAGCUCAGCUGGCAGAGCGGCUGAUUUGUAAUCAGCAGGUCGUCCGUUCGAAUCGGACAUCCGGCACCA
rnacentral:tRNA from 1 species